AAAGCUAUUUUUUCUCUCAUCUUCCUCGCGUAACAACAACAAUACGCUCAAACAUUUCAUCUAUUUUUCAGAUAAAGAGUUUCACGGUUAUGUUUGGUGUUCGCAAAGGUUUUCUGUUCAGAAUCGAAUUGCUACUCAGUUUUGUUUUGGUUCUAGUUUAGAGGUUUCGACUCUGUGCACAGUUUGGAUUCGAGCAGAGCUUUUUCACAGUACAGAUUUUGUAUUCGAGCCAAGUUUUUGGUACAGUUGUUGGUUUGAAUUAAAAUUAAAGUGAGUAUACAACGUAAUAAAGCUAAAUUGGAUGAGAGCUUACCGGUUGAAAUGAAGAAAAAUGCAGAAUUUGUCCUCGCUCGCAAGGUGUUCGAUGAAAUGUCCCAACCGAAUUCCUUUUGUGGCGAAGUUAGCGGUGAGAGAGGAAUUUGAUUUAGUUGAUGUUAACGGCUCAACGAAAUCGAGGAAUGUUGAUUGUAUGAGUACUGUGGAUGAUGAUAAAGGACUUGGUCCUACUGUUCCUUCUCAGAACGAAAGCGAAGGAAGAUAGCUCGGAGAAGGAGAAGUCUCUCGAUCUCUUUCUGAAGAUCGGCUUAGACGAACGCACAACUCGAAACACCAUCGCCAACAACAAAGUCACUACCAAUCUCACUGCUGUUAUCCACGAGGCCGGUGUUACCGACAGAUGCAGCCGAUCUGUUGGGAACCUUAUUUAUACGGUGAGUUACAAUGAAGCAGAAGUGGUUGUGAUUGGAUGUUAACAGCUCAACGAAAUCGAGGAAUGUUGAUUGUGUGAGUUACAAAAACAGUUUGGUUAUUUUAUCUUUUGUUGAAGAAGUAACUUAUACAUAAACACUUAUAUAAUAAGAAGUUAUGCUUUAAAUGGUUAGUUAAAAUAUUUACCAAACAAGGUUCUAUUUGAUGCAAUGGGAGUGUUUGAGAGCUUUACCCUUUCAGAUUGGUGUUAUAGUAAUCAACAUUGUUUGGAGUUAGCCAAAAAGCAUAUGAGCAGUAGAAGGGACUAUGUAACUGCAUCCGUCAAUGUACUUCGGUCUCAUCGGUGAUGGUCAACCUAUUGGAUGCUACGAAGACAUGUGGAUUUUGGUUAGAUGCUUUUUCAUUUCAAUUUCUAUUUUCAAACUCUGUUAGUUUUGUGAGAUAAUUCAAUUGUUGAGGUUUUUACUGAUUUUGUUGUUGUUAAACUUGCAUUGAUAACCUCUUCCCGCUUUUCCACGACGGAGAAUCAACCUUUUUCUAAUCCACACUCUAUCCAUGACGCAAUACCCGUUUCCACCAUCGAAAACCCUAGCUUCUAUGAUUCCACUUCUUCAACAUCAUCAUCAUCAUCAUCAGAUGAAGAUUCACGGCGCGAGAGUUCGAAAUCGAGAGCCAAGUACGAGGACGAACAUGCUCGUGUGCUUCACGCCUCACUCACUCACGUAGUUAAUGAAGCUGGGAUGGACAGAAGCUGCGUUAAUUGCUGGAGCGAAGGAUGUUGGUCUUUCUCCUUCUAUUGUUGGAUCUUUGUCAAGGAAGGAAGCUGCAUUGGUUGAGGUUCAUUUCCAUCUCUAUCUUAGUUUUUAGUAAUGGAAUUCAAUAGUAAUUGGUAAAGGAAUUAUGAGAAAAAGAAAAUAUAGUUAAAUUUGAGAGAAAAGCAAUUAAAGGAAAAGUUAAUUACUGUAUUAAACAUCUUUUGUUUAAGUUUAGUUCAGAUUAUUUAAUUCAGUCAGUUAAAAUAAUUGCUGAUUAUCUGUUAGUAUGAUUUAAGUAGAGUAGUUGUUAAAGUAUAGAGAGAUUAGUUUUAGCUGUUACAUAAUUAAUUGCUGAUUAUAUGUUGUAGUACUAAUUGGUGAUUACCUGUUGUAGUACUAAUUGCUGAUUACCUGUUAUAGUGAAGUUAGUUUUCUGCUUUUACAUUUUUCUGUUAGGAUUUUGUUAGAUAGUUAGAACUUGGUUAGUAGUUAAUUUUUCCUUCUCUACACUUACGGUAUAAAAUGAUUAAGUUUGUUAGCAAUUAAUUACUAAACAAAUUCACUAUAAUCUAACUAUCUAACCAACUUAACCAUCGCCCAGGAUGAACAGUUCAAUCCUCGGUCAUAGUUAGAAGGACUAUAGUUAGUUUUGUGAGAUAAUUCAAUUGUUGAGGUUUUUACUGAUUUUGUUGUUAAACUUGUGGUGUUCAAUGGAAAGACAAUCAAGUUGAAAUUAAACAUGAAAUGAUUGGCCAUUAUCUAGCUGAAUUCUCAAUCUCAUACAAGCCUAUUAAGCCCAGUAAGCCCGGUAUUGGUGCCAUUAUCUAGUUAUGUGUGUGUGUGUGUGUGUGGUGUUUAUAGCAUUGAUCAUUGCAAAGGAUUUCAGCCAAGGAUUAGACAUGGGUUUAUCACACAUCUCUAUUUUAUCAGGCAAUAAUAAGUAUUGGUUAUACUCAUUAGUUGAAUAUGUUUUCAUUUUGUUAAAAAAGUUUUCAUAGCCAUUAUGUUUAUGUAUUAUGAGUAACAAAAUAUGUAAACGAUGGACUGAAUCAUAAAAUUAUUAAAGAAUUAAUUGUUGAUAAGAGCUUCACAGCUAUAUAACUUUCCAGUUCCUGAUAUUGGAUUGCUUAAAGAAGUUGAAAAUAAGGAGAAAACAGUUAAGGCUAGUAUUUCUAGCAAGUUGUAACCAUAUAGAUAUGAUGAACUUGUAUACUGAUC